UACUGGCUAAGUUUCUUAAGUGCUGGAAAGGUUCCUGAGGCACGCUCCCCUGACCAAAAAGUUCUGCCAUGAAUAAAGGUGCCUAAAAUCCUGCUAUUGAAGCUUCCUGUGUGUCAGAAGUGAUUUGUUUGGUUUUUCACAUUUUCAGAUUAAAACACACAUGCCAUUUUAGAUGAUAAGCUGAAACCUCUGGGAGGAUAACCAAAGGUUCAACUUCAGGUGAGCCUCACACCUCUGGUGGCCCGCCCUGCCACACGGGCACCGGCACAGGGCUGGGUGUUCUCCCCGCGUCAUCUCGCUAACUGCCCAGACGGAACCCUGAGGGCCGCUGACGUCAGCAAGUCUUCCAGCUGGAGUUCUCCUCUCUCUCUUCAGCCUUCAAAAAGUCUCUUCUUCAGGUUGUCGAGGGACAUGCAUAAAGGGCACAUGGACAAAGCCAAAGCAGACUGCUUGAUUGAUUCUGCUCCAAAAUCCUACUGCUUUCCAAGGGAGCAAAGGAUGAGCCCAAGUAAUUUGUGAAACAGAAGCCGGGGGCUGGCCUGGCACCUGGACCACAAGGCUGGAAAGGCUGCCACGCCAUGUCCUCAGAAGGAAUCCGUCUCGCCCCCUGAUGGGCCGGCAAAGCUGCUGCAAGCCCAGCUCACGCUCCUCAGCUGGAACCUGUGUUUGCUGGGCCCUUGAUGAACCGCAAAGAUUCUUUGGAAACCAGCUGUCAAAUCUAUGCUGACUUGCUAGCAGAAUUUUAAAAAGAAGGUCGUCCUCAGGGCCUGCGAGCCCUCGCCACCUCGUCAGGUGGCCCGACCUCCUGUCAGAACCCUUUGCCUACGGCAUCGAUGAUGUGAAACGGGCGGUGUGUGCCGGCCUCUUCAAAGGGGAGUACCAUCAGAUUCUUUCAGUGGGCCGAGCUCAUUGUCUCCAGGAGGCUGCACGUGAUCUGUGGCGCGACCUUGUCCUCCCCACAGUGAAAAGCAGACCCGGUGGGACCCCCUGGCCCAGCAAAGCCAGUGUUUCUGGAAUCACUGACGGAGAAAAUUCACCGCACUCUGAACUCUGCCAGAAAUUCCUCAGGUUUAUUCAGUUAAUCUCUGUUCCAGCACAAUUCUGAACACGAUUGACCAGUAAUGCUUUAACAAGCGACUGUUUGGCAAGUCAAAACGUAAAGAAUCUCUUUUUGUACUAAGCAAUAAAAUAAACUGGGUAAGAGUUCUUUGACACUAAAGCGACGUGGUGACUUGUCUGCUUUACGCCGUAUUUAACAGCGUUGAGAUGUCACGAGGGCGGUCCCCCGGGAAGCAACACCGCUCUCUUCUGGAUUUUGUAACUUCUUCACAGGCCCGUGUAUUUGGUGUUGGUUCUGAAAGGUUUGCCAGGGCAUCUGGCCAGAACUACUCAAGUUCUAACAAAAUGCAUUCUUCCACAUUCUGCGGAUAUCUAUUUUCCAUAUUCUGGUCUGAAGAAAAGGUAUAGACUCUGCCUUGGAUGUAAAUAAAACACACAUAGAGAGAGUAAUUUUUCCUCAAGAAAAAAAAUCUGUAUUCCAGAACAAUCAUUUGUUCAACCAAACCACCUUGUGGCAGUGGUUCUUAAGACGUGGUGCCCAGGGUGGCGGCGGCAGCAGCCCCCGGAAACGGUUAGAAAUGCAGAGUCCCAGGCCCCUCCCAGCCCCACUGACUCGGAGACCCUGGGGCGGGGCCCAGAAGCCUGAGCUUUCACACACCCUGCAGGGGCGUCCUUCUCGAGUGUGAGAACCGGGGCCUUAGCUGUCAACAUUGGUUGUCCAGUAACUUUGAGGGUAAGACUCGUCCGAACAUAAGAAGCCCCCUGGGCAGCGAAUGGCAGGUUGACAUGCAGAUUCCUGGGAUCUUCUUUUCAUAUCCUGACCCAGUGCAGAAAGGGGAGGGCCUGGGGGCCACGUUUUCCCCAACGCCCCAUCUAUCACUGUUACAUAUCACCUCCCACUCAGGGAAACAUCGCAUAGAGCAAUGAGAGGGCGCGGAAGAUAUUCUCCUGCUGACUCACUCAUGCCUGGGCCAGUGCUAAGGUAAUUUAAUGGGAAUUGAUUCUUAAUUGCCCAGAACACCCGAGCGCUGGGCUGGAGCACGACCUUUUCAGCCCCGUGAAAUGAGGGGCCUGCCCUGCAGCCCGAGCAGUCGAGCAGCCUGGAGAGCCCUCGCUACACACAGAUUCGAAACACUUCAAAUCGAUUGGCUUCUUAUUAAAGUGUACUUCAAUAAAAAU